rnacentral:rRNA from 1 species
GAUGAACGCUGGCGGCGUGCCUAAUACAUGCAAGUCGAGCGAACAGACGAGGAGCUUGCUCCUCUGACGUUAGCGGCGGACGGGUGAGUAACACGUGGAUAACCUACCUAUAAGACUGGGAUAACUUCGGGAAACCGGAGCUAAUACCGGAUAAUCUAUUGAACCGCAUGGUUCAAUAGUGAAAGACGGUUUUGCUGUCACUUAUCGAUGGAUCUGCGCCGCAUUAGCUAGUUGGUAAGGUAACGGCUUACCAAGGCAACGAUGCGUAGCCGACCUGAGAGGGUGAUCGGCCACACUGGAACUGAGACACGGUCCAGACUCCUACGGGAGGCAGCAGUAGGGAAUCUUCCGCAAUGGGCGAAAGCCUGACGGAGCAACGCCGCGUGAGUGAUGAAGGUCUUCGGAUCGUAAAACUCUGUUAUGAGGGAAGAACAAAUGUGUAAGUAACUAUGCACGUCUUGACGGUACCUAAUCAGAAAGCCACGGCUAACUACGUG